rnacentral:misc_RNA from 1 species
CCAGCGAGGGUUUACAAUCUACUCAUCUCACAUUGAAAGAAUAUAAAUGGAACUCUUUCGACCCUUGAUGCCCGAUUGUGUUCUCCGUAAAUUUACCUAAAUCCUGGUGGAUAAGGAGGAUGCAAAUUAAUAAUGGCAAGCUUCUAACAGCUCAAGAACACGUAGCUUCAACAUUAACUUCAUGCACGCUUGUAUCCACUUCUUCAUCCGAUUCAUUUGAAAUGGGGGAAAUUUCCUUAUCCCUGUUUACAUCUUCAUUAGCUGCAUCCAAUUCAUCAACAUUCUUUGCUCGAAUCCUAACACGCUUUCCUUUGAUGUACCGAUAUUCCCAUUUCGGUGGUGGAUAUUUCUUCUUUAAUUUGUCGUAUUUGUCCAGCAUACCCAGCUUCUUGAAUGCACUUCCCAUCAUAUUAACAAUGGCAACAUUUGGUUGGACACCGAGCUCCUCCAUGUCAGCAAAUAUCUCGAACAUCUUCUCAUGCAUAUCCC